AGGGUCAGCUAGAUAGAAUAUUUGGAGAACCUUAUUUGCUGAUUCCUAUUAAAACAAAAGCCAUUUGACAGUUUAGACCUUUCCAGGGAAACCAGGGUCCAUUAUAGCUGCUCUGACCAGUAAGUGAGCCUCACUGAGCAGAUGGAUGCAACUCUCUGUUUUCACAUUUUCAAAUGGGCCUUCAAGCCUAAGCCGGAGGCCAUGCUGCGCUAUCACAAGCAGACCGAGAGGUCGAGGCUACGAGGGACAUAACACAGGAAAAAGAAAAAAAACCACAAAGGCAGCAGCAGAGAAAUGCAAUAAUUCCACCAACAAAAUUAUAAAUGUAGUACCUUGUAAUGACAUGCAGGAACUGUGGAGUGAGAACUGCCUGCUCUGACUUCUCUGAAUAUUGGUAGAAGUAACACUUCAGCUGAGUUGAGGCAAGCUGCAGAACAAAUGAGCAGAAGGCAGUACCUUGGUUAAGGUCACACAGGCAGGACUGCUGAUCAGUCUCCAGUGCAAUCCUUUGAAGCAGGCUGCUCUAAACAAUAACAGAAUUUGACACAAGCUGCUUCAGAAUAAGGUAGUUUCAAUUUCUGAAAGACCAUCCUUUUCUGGUUUACGUUUCUUCAGUCAUAAAUGAAGUGUUUUCCUAAGGUU